rnacentral:snoRNA from 1 species
AAGACUAUACUUUCAGGGAUCAUUUCUAUAUUUACAAAACAGAAAUAGAGUCACAGAUGUAGAAAACAAAUUUAUGGUUACCAGAGGGGA